CUAGAGGUAUAACAAUUGGUAGUUUACCUGCUUUGGAUGCAGGAGGUUGUAGGUUCGAAUCCUGCUCUCUAGACUA
rnacentral:tRNA from 1 species